CACACUCUUUGCAGCAUCAGGCUUAUUUUUCUUAUUUGUCUAUUAUAAAUUCAAAUUCAAAAUUGACUUAAAAAAAAAGUAUUUGUCAUUCUGAUUACUUCAGGUUACUUAUUUAUACUGAUUUGGUUGUGUCGUUGAUGUGAUUUUCUAUUUAUUGUAAAUAUUUAUUAAAACAAUAUCAAAGGUAUAUUCCUCCCUUUUAUUCAUACAGUCCACCAUACCAUACCAUCUUUUUUAUUGGUACUUCACCUCAUUUAUUCAGUGCCUAUUUAGUUUGACAGUUACGUUUUCGUGUUUACAUUUCAUUUUCUUUCAUUGGUUACUUAUUUAUACUGAUUUGGUUGUGUCGUUGAUGUGAUUUUCUAUUUAUUGUAAAUAUUUAUUAAAACAAUAUCAAAGGUA